GUGGGGAAUAUUGGACAAUGGGCGAAAGCCUGAUCCAGCCAUGCCGCGUGUGUGAAGAAGGUCUUCGGAUUGUAAAGCACUUUAAGUUGGGAGGAAGGGCAGUAAGCUAAUACCUUGCUGUUUUGACGUUACCGACAGAAUAAGCACCGGCUAACUCUGUGCCAGCAGCCGCGGUAAUACAGAGGGUGCAAGCGUUAAUCGGAAUUACUGGGCGUAAAGCGCGCGUAGGUGGUUUGUUAAGUUGGAUGUGAAAGCCCCGGGCUCAACCUGGGAACUGCAUCCAAAACUGGCAAGCUAGAGUACGGUAGAGGGUGGUGGAAUUUCCUGUGUAGCGGUGAAAUGCGUAGAUAUAGGAAGGAACACCAGUGGCGAAGGCGACCACCUGGACUGAUACUGACACUGAGGUGCGAAAGCGUGGGGAGCAAACAGGAUUAGAAACCCGAGUAGUCC
rnacentral:rRNA from 1 species